GCAGCCGGCCCCGGGACAGUCCCGCACCCCCCUUCUGCAGCCGGCCCCGGGACAGUCCCGCACCCCCCUUCUGCAGCCGGCCCCGGGACAGUCCCGCACCCCCCUUCUGCAGCCGGCCCCGGGACAGUCCCGCACCCCCCUUCUGCAGCCGGCCCCGGGACAGUCCCGUACCCCCCUUCUGCAGCCGGCCCCGGGACAGUCCCGCACCCCCCUUCUGCAGCCGGCCACGGGACAGUCCCGUACCCCCCUUCUGCAGCCGGCCCCGGGACAGUCCCGCACCCCCCUUCUGCAGCCGGCCCCGGGACAGACCCGCACCCCCUUCUGCAGCCGGCCCCGGGACAGUCUCUCCCCCCCCCCCCUCUGCAGCCGGCCAUGGGACUGUCCCACACACCCCUUUUGCAACUGGCCCCAAUUCAGUCCUGGCCCCUCUUCCACAGCUAGCCCCAGUUCAGUCCUGCCCUGCCCCCCUCCUGUGAUUUCCCUCAGGGUAGGGAUUAUAAGGCUGGCCGAGAAAUGAGGAGAACUCCUGCAGAAGUUACUACAGCCAGUAAAUGCAAGGGAACUGCAGAAUCCCAGGAGUAUGGGGCAGCUCUAGAUGGAGGAUCUCCAGUCACUGACCCAGGAGUGGAAAAUGAUGUUGAGAUUAACGCUCUCUUACCCAAGGACUUGCAUCAUGGCUGUACCAAGGUCAAACAAAGAAGCGCUUCCUGGACUCCCUCUUGGCAUUGUUAUCGAGGCAAGUGCUGAGGGCAAACUCAGCCAGGUCAAUACACAUCAACACUGUGACAAAUCUCCCCCUGUGGGUGAAUGGAAUUGUGGGCCCUAGACAAGGCAGGAAGAGGUUGAGGAGAGCAACCCUGCACCAGAUUCCCAAUCCCAUUCUGGCUAGGUUCCCAAAAGCCUUAAGUCCAUUCAAGGUGUUGGGAGAAGAACCCACCACCAAAGGAUUCUUCUGUGUGGAAGGAAGGAUAGUUCUCCUUACAGCGGAUGUUUUCCUUCACCUCUGAGGCAAAAAAUCGCCCCUUCUUAACAGGGAGGCAUGGUUGCACCACAAAGCUUCACCCCGGGAGUGGAAGCCACACCUUAGUUUACGGAACUCCUUUCAAACUAGUUUCUAAAGUUGUGGCCUGUGUUUGCAACCCUUUCCUCUGCCCCAUCUCUUGAUACUGAGCAUGGGUGCAAGACCUUCUCCUAGCACUGCAUGCAGUGUAGGGUGCUGGUUUGCAAUCCAUUCCUGGCAGGGUAUAAGAAACAAGUCUGGAAAACACAGUGGGCCAUGCUGUGACUGCAUCCUCGGUAGGGAUGUUCCUGAAUCGGCACACCUGACCUGGGUGAAUCAUUCGGUGCCUCUCUAAUGAGGCGCCAAAAUGAUCUGAGCACAUCCCUUAUUCUCGGUCCGUAGGGCUAUCCAGCGGGAUGAGGGCAUGCUAAUAAAAGCAAUCCCCAACCUCUGCUGGCUUUCUGCAGGAACACCUUGGCAUCCGCUCAUGCCCCCCGCCCCUGGCGACAGUGUGGGAUUAGCUGGCCGCCUUUUGGGGCCGAGUAGGAAUUUUCCCCAUCCACCCAGAUUGGCCUGGAGGUGGCUGGUUUUUUGCCUACUCUACACUGUUGCACUGGAAGGGGGUUUUAAUCUGGCCAAUGUUAGGAGCGUUGCCUUUAAAUAGAGUAGCCCCUUGGUCACCAUCAUCAUGAUGUCAGGUCAGAGAAGGGGAUACAGUGCUGCACCCUAGGGGUGGCAGCUGCACUGUGGCUUGGCUACACUGCAGCUCUUUGUUGAAACUAGGUUAAUAAAGUUACUGCCCUAGUUUUAACCCA